rnacentral:rRNA from 1 species
CCUACGGGUGGCAGCAGUAGGGAAUCUUCCACAAUGGACGAAAGUCUGAUGGAGCAACGCCGCGUGAGUGAAGAAGGGUUUCGGCUCGUAAAGCUUCGUUGGUAGUGAAGAAAGAUAGAGGUAGUAACUUGCCUUUAUUUGACGGUAAUUACUUAGAAAGUCACGGCUAAUUACGUCCCAGCAGCCGCGGUAAUACGUAGGUGGCAAGCGUUGGUCGGAUUUAUUGGGCGUAAAGCGAGUGCAGGCGGUUCAAUAAGUCUGAUGUGAAAGCCUUCGGCUCAACCGGAGAAUUGCAUCAGAGACUGUGGAACUUGAGUGCAGAAGAGGAGGGUGGAACUCGAGGUGUAGCGGUGGAAUGCGUAGAUAUAUGGAAGAACACCGGUGGCGAAGGCAGCUCUCUGGUCUGCAACUGACGCUGAGGCUCGAAAGCAUGGGUAGCGAACAGGAUUAGAUACCCGAGUAGUC